rfam:Candidatus Beckwithbacteria bacterium RIFCSPLOWO2_02_FTLL_47_23 rifcsplowo2_02_scaffold_13608, whole genome shotgun sequence.
GGGCCCGUAGCUCAAUUGGUAGAGCGCUUGCAUGGCAUGCAAGAGGUUAGGAGUUCGAUUCUCCUCGGGUCCA